rnacentral:rRNA from 1 species
UACGAAGGUCCCGAGCGUUAUCCGGAUUUAUUGGGUUUAAAGGGUGCGUAGGCGGGCAGGUAAGUCCGUGGUGAAAUCUCUGAGCUUAACUCAGAAACUGCCAUGGAUACUAUUUGUCUUGAAUAUUGUGGAGGUAAGCGGAAUAUGUCAUGUAGCGGUGAAAUGCUUAGAUAUGACAUAGAACACCAAUUGCGAAGGCAGCUUACUACACAGUUAUUGACGCUGAGGCACGAAAGCGUGGGGAUCAAACAGG